rnacentral:rRNA from 1 species
CAGCCGCCGCGGUAAUACGUAGGUGGCAAGCGUUGUCCGGAAUUAUUGGGCGUAAAGCGCGCGCAGGCGGUCCUUUAAGUCUGAUGUGAAAGCCCCCGGCUCAACCGGGGAGGGUCAUUGGAAACUGGGGGACUUGAGUGCAGGAGAGGGAAGUGGAAUUCCACGUGUAGCGGUGAAAUGCGUAGAGAUGUGGAGGAACACCAGUGGCGAAGGCGGCUUCCUGGCCUGUAACUGACGCUGAGGCGCGAAAGCGUGGGGAGCAAACAGGAUUAGAUACACUGGUAGUCCACGCCGUAAACGAUGAGUGCUAAGUGUUAGGGGGUUUCCGCCCCUUAGUGCUGCAGCUAACGCAUUAAGCACUCCGCCUGGGGAGUACGGCCGCAAGGCUGAAACUUAAAGGAAUUGGCGGG